rnacentral:rRNA from 1 species
UACGUAGGGGGCAAGCGUUGUCCGGAUUUACUGGGCGUAAAGAGCGCGCAGGCGGUCGUUCAAGUCGAGUGUGAAAGCCCCCGGCUCAACUGGGGAGGGUCACUCGAUACUGAUCGACUUGAAGGCAGGAGAGGGAAGCGGAAUUCCCGGUGUAGUGGUGAAAUGCGUAAAUAUCGGGAGGAACACCAGUGGCGAAGGCGGCUUCCUGGCCUGUUCUUGACGCUGAGGCGCGAAAGCUAGGGGAGCAAACGGG